GCCCGCCUAGCUCAAUCGGAUAGAGCGUCAGACUCUUACCACUAGGCUACGGUGAUCUGAAGGCUGCGAGUUCGACCCUCGCGGUGGGCU